rnacentral:rRNA from 1 species
GGGUCAGUAGGUUGGUCGUGCCACCGGUACGUACUGGUCUCACUGGUUCCUCCUUCCUGAAGAACCGUAAUGCCAUUAAUUUGGUGUUGCGGGGAAACAGGACUGUUACUUUGAAAAAAUUAGAGCGUUUAACGCAAGCUAACGCUUGAAUACAUUAGCAUGGAAUAAUGAAAUAGGACGAUCGAUCCUAUUUUGUUGGUUUCUAGGAUUGACGUA